UACGUAGGGGGCAAGCGUUGUCCGGAUUUACUGGGCGUAAAGGGCUCGUAGGCGGCCAACUAAGUCAGACGUGAAAUCCCUCGGCUUAACCGGGGAACUGCGUCUGAUACUGGAUGGCUUGAAUCCGGGAGAGGGAUGCGGAAUUCCGGGUGUAGCGGUGGAAUGCGUAGAGAUCCGGAAGAACACCGGUGGCGAGGGCGGCCUGCUGGGCAGUUGCUGACACUGAGGCGCGACAGCGUGGGGAGCAAACAGG
rnacentral:rRNA from 1 species